GCCAUGGCAACGGACUAGCUAGGGAAGGGGAGGGGCCAGGAACCUGGCCCUGCACCCUGACCAGGGCAGUAGGAGGCACCUCACUGUUUGUGCUUUGAUUGGUGUUGGGAGUGGGUCAUAAAGAGGAUGGUGGCCAUUUCCAUGGAAAUAUGGGAGUCCCUCUAAGCCAGGGGAUAAGACAGGGUGGGGUGGGGCAGAUGCCCUCCUGGGCAGGCCGAGAUGCUGCACACAGCAGGAGCCAGACAAGUGGGGUGCAGGGUGCAGGGAGAGAUCCCCACAUUCUACAUCAUCUCCACACUGGCCCCAGGCCUUGUCAUUCACUGUUGCCUCUCUGUGGUGGGUAGGAGUCCCGGAGACCCAGAGAAACUAGGGGCUGUGGCAUGGGGGCCUACACCUGAGAUACCAGUGGGGAGCAGGUCUACCCACCACCCCACACCCAGGCAGCUCCCCAGGGCUACUUGGAAGACACUUGAAGGGGGCUGGUGGCACCCUUUGCCUCUGCUUCUGUCUGGCCCUAGACCCCUGAGACCACAACUUUGGAAGGAGUAGCAGAUGAAUGGGGGCGGAGCCCAGAGGAGCAGCUGGAGGCGGGGCCAGCACUGGGCCAGGAAGCUGGGAGACAGAGCUGUAACCUGUUGGGCCAGCAAGAAGUCCCUUGGGCAGCACAGUAGAGACAACUGGUGUCAGUAGCAGGUUGUAAACUUUAAGGAAAAUGUUUGUUUUCCUGUCCGCUAUUAUUGGGUGUUGGUUACUUCACAGUCAGGUGGUGGUCAAGUGUGUGUGUGUGGGUGCGUGUGUGCGUGUGUGCGUGUCUCAGACCUUCAAGCAGUUCCCACAGGAACCAGGAGCGCAACACUGAGGGAUGCUAAGCGAGAUGGAGACAGGAAGAAGCCCAUCUGUUCCUGCAAGGAUCAAGAGGAUCAGAGAAGGACGAGGCUUUGCUCCAAGUAACACAGCAAAGCGAGGCCAAAAUCAAGGUUCCUAAGACACUGACAGUCACCAUGGAGUCAGGAACCAAGGGGCCCUGUCCGCAUAGCCUGAUGAGCACUGACUCUUAGCUAUCAUCCUUCUGCAUGGGGUCAGGGAAGCCAGCCCUUUCCUGGGCCUUGUUCGAUGGGAAGUGUCAAGGUGCGAUCUGGUGGCGGCUCCUCCUGAGACACAGGAGACUGGACAGCAGCAGGGGGUCACAGCCCACAGCCCAGUGGAUUCAUCUUUCACUUUCCCCAAAGCCCUGGGGAGAUUUGGCUGGGUUACCCUGCAGGCUGCACACAGCCAGACCUGGCUCCAGCUCACACCCUGCACUCCAGACUCCAGAAACUGCGAAGGCCCUAGACAGUUGCAUUCCAGCAAGGACACAGGAUGGUCAGAGAAAUCCACAUUUGUCCCGGAAAGCCAGAACAGUGUCCACAAGAGCCACCGCCACCGCCACCUCCUGCUCCUCCCCCAGGGAGACUCUAGGAAAGAGAGCACUUUGAAAAAAAAAAUGUCUAGACUUUGUGUUAAAGUGAAGCCAAUUUAAAGCUGUGAGCAGCAGAGGAGAAGGGAGGGAGGCAUGAGAAGGCACCCAGAGGAGGCUCCGGUGGCAAUGCCAGCUGAACAGCCAACUGAGAAGGUCCAACUUCCCAACCCCAUGUCCUCCAGGUCUUUGUCCCUGAGCCUGAGGAGUGAGGGGCUGUUCCCACCUAUCCCCACCCCCCGCAAGCUCAGCCCCUUCUCUGAGGACCCUGCAGGAGAGGGACGGCCUCCCUGCUCUACUCCACCCCCAGCUGAGGCGUACACAAACAGUUAGCCUUCCCAUGAUGCACUUCAAUCCCAGGCUCUGCUCCUCCAACCCCCACCCCACCCCACCCUGCAAGGCUUCUCUCUUGGUACCGGAACUAUCUGAGAAUGGGAUCCCCCACUUUCCUCUCUGCGUUCCCCAGUGCCUAGCCUAAGGCCUGGCGCAUAGUAGGCACUCAGUAAAUGUCUGUUGAAUUGAAUUGCACUCAGGGCGGCCAGUCGUCUCUGCUCUGGAAGAGAAGCAUAGAGUUAGUGGAGCUGUUUCCAUGGCAACCAGGGGACUGGACCACACUGUUGGGGGAGGAGUUCAGUCACCCCCUCCCCUACCAAGGACCCCAAGGGCCCUGGAGAGGGGCCUGGGGAGAGGGAACAUCCAGACUUAGGAGAUGACAAGGACCGGAAGAGAUGUAGGAGGCAUGCACAUAGUGGCCUCCAGCUUAGGAGAUGUGAGUACUUGACGCCUAAUGCCUGUGAACUGCCUGGGAAUCAUGCCCAUUCUACAACUGAAAGGACUGAGGCUUGGGGCAGGAGCAGAGCUGCCCCGGAUCCCAGGCAAUCUCCCUGCAAAGUUAGAAGAAGCAAGGCAUGACAACACGACAGCGAAGACGACCCUCAGACAAAGAUACCGACCCCACUCCCCACCCCACUGAGGGUGGCCCCAGUUCAGCCCAAGCAUCUAAAGACUGUGCAAGCCAAGAAUCCAGCAGGAGUUCCUGGGCACAGAAGGGUAAGGCUGGAAAAGGUGCCACAGGCUGAUUCCAAGGACGCUGUGCCCACAGCCAGAUGUGGGUCGAGGCAGAGAUGCAUGUCACCAGCACCAGGCCCUGCAUGCUGAGAAUAUCAGACACAGGGACAGGGACAUUUGAAGGGUCCAAGCAGAAAACAGGCUGCAGCAUCCAGGUGUCCCAAGGCCACCCAUGGGGAAGGAACAUGGUCUCAUGCACGGACAUCUCAACCCACAGGACUCAACAAAGCAGGACCGUCCCCCACCCCCCAGGUUAGGACCGAGGGCCUCGUGGUGCCCUCCUAGAGCCCCUCACACCUCUCUGCCCGCUCCUUUCAAACCCUGCACCGGUGUGGAUAAGUGUGCCCCCCUGAGCCUGCCUUAGUGCACAGGGUUUGCCUCCCUUGGCCCUCUGCAUCCUGGGAGCCAGGCCACAUAUCCCUGGCCUCCUCAGCAGACAGCA
rnacentral:lncRNA from 1 species